rnacentral:tRNA from 1 species
GUCACUAUGGCGAAAUUGGCGAGACGCAUCGGACUUAAGUUCCGACGGUAGCGAUACCAUCUGGGUUCGACUCCCAGUAGUGACA